AUGGAAGGGCCAUCGCUCAACGGAUAAAAGGUACUCCGGGGAUAACAGGCUGAUACCGCCCAAGAGUUCAUAUCGACGGCGGUGUUUGGCACCUCGAUGUCGGCUCAUCACAUCCUGGGGCUGAAGUAGGUCCCAAGGGUAUGGCUGUUCGCCAUUUAAAGUGGUACGCGAGCUGGGUUUAGAACGUCGUGAGACAGUUCGGUCCCUAUCUGCCGUGGGCGCUGGAGAACUGAGGGGGGCUGCUCCUAGUACGAGAGGACCGGAGUGGACGCAUCACUGGUGUUCGGGUUGUCAUGCCAAUGGCACUGCCCGGUAGCUAAAUGCGGAAGAGAUAAGUGCUGAAAGCAUCUAAGCACGAAACUUGCCCCGAGAU
rnacentral:rRNA from 1 species